rnacentral:misc_RNA from 1 species
UUUCCGUAGGUAAACCUGCGGAAGGAUCAUUACCGAAUUUCUUAAUUAGCGUUCCGUGCUAUCCCAUUGCAUUAUUUCCCCUGCUGCUUCCACCGGAUGAGUUUACAUACCUUGUGCUUGAGAGACUUUGGCUUGUGUAAGAUUCAUUCACGGCCAGCCAGUGAGAAGACCAUCUACAAUACCCUGUUAAGAACCAUUUGUCUGAAUAUUAUACUCAAAUUAAAUAAAACUUUCAACAACGGAUUUCUAUGCUCUUGCAUCGAAGAAGAACGCAGCAGA